CUUGUGCUAAUCACUGUUCAGAGCUUGGCUGCUGAGUGUUUUCUGGGAGCUGCAUUGUCAGUUGAGGGCUGCCCGCUGCGUGGGGUGGAUUCCCCAGCCCUCACAGGAUAAUUUUAUCACAGAGGACAACAUUUGUAGUUCUGCAUGAGUGGCUCUCCUGGCGAGAUAAAGAAGAGACAGUGAGCUGAGGCUGAGGCUGAGAAGGCUGGCAUAUGUGAUGUCUUCGGGGAUCGGAAGCUGUAAGUAGCACAGAGGGACACACAGAGGCCUGUGGUGGUGGAGGAGGGGCUUGACGGGUCCUGGUAAAGAAAGCUUUUAUGGUUCCCUGACUGAGGAUAAUCAACCCCUUCAUAAUUUAGAAUCCAAAGAUUGGAUCUUCUGAGAACAUCAGAGAAAGACUGCCCUUGCCAUCCACACUGCAACAAAACUUCAGAACCUUGAACCUUGGGUUCAUAAUCUCACAACAAAGAAGGGUCCCUCCAUGUUCUUGGAGCUGUACACCCAUUGGAACUCUUAAGACAUAUGGCCCUAAAGCACCUCAGAAGAAGCUGAAGGAAAUCAGCCUCCAUAGCUUUCAAGCCCCUGGACUCCUGGAGCCAGAAGUUAAUUCACACUCUGAUCUCAGAGAAGUUCAAGACCUUCAGCAGAACUUUUCCUGGCCAGGGCAUUUUUGCCCCUGAGAUAUGUCAUUAAACACUGUAACCAGGAACUUCUGUUCUUACCCCUGUCCUUCCCUUCACCUUUUAUAGUUACUAAAUGCAAUGUUUUAUUUUUCCAAGUACAAAACAAUAA
rnacentral:lncRNA from 1 species